rnacentral:rRNA from 1 species
UGCAGUCGAACGGUACAGCGGGAGCUUGCUCCCGGCUGACGAGUGGCGGACGGGUGAGUAAUGCAUAGGAAUCUGCCCAGUAGUGGGGGACAACCUGGGGAAACUCAGGCUAAUACCGCAUACGCCCUACGGGGGAAAGGCUUCGGCCGCUAUUGGAUGAGCCUAUGUCUGAUUAGCUUGUUGGUGGGGUAACGGCCUACCAAGGCUACGAUCAGUAGCUGGUCUGAGAGGACGAUCAGCCACACUGGGACUGAGACACGGCCCAGACUCCUACGGGAGGCAGCAGUGGGGAAUAUUGCACAAUGGGCGAAAGCCUGAUGCAGCAAUGCCGCGUGUGUGAAGAAGGCCUGCGGGUUGUAAAGCACUUUCAGUAGGGAGGAUUAUGACGUUACCUACAGAAGAAGCACCGGCUAACUCUGUGCCAGCAGCCGCGGUAAUACAGAGGGUGCGAGCGUUAAUCGGAAUUACUGGGCGUAAAGCGCGCGUANGCGGCCUGGUCAGUCGGAUGUGAAAGCCCCGGGCUUAACCUGGGAAUUGCAUUCNAUACUGCCAGGCUGGAGUGUAGUAGAGGGAAGCGGAAUUCCNGGUGUAGCGGUGAAAUGCGUAGAGAUCCGGAGGAACAUCAGUGGCGAAGGCGGCUUCCUGGACUAACACUGACGCUGAGGUGCGAAAGCGUGGG